CUCGAUUCAUAAAUUGAUGAGUGAGAGGUUCUGCGAUGGAAUGAAUAUAUGGAAAGAAUGAAUGGAAUGAAUGGAAUGAAUGAAUGAAUGAAUCGUGACCCCCUGAAUCGAUGAAGACUGAUGAAUUUAUAGGCUCUCAAAAUUCUGUUGGAAAUGAAAUCGAAAUUGUUAGUAGUUAUUAUGAUUCCAUGUGUGGUGUUUCUGUUAGGAUGAGUUAAGUUAUCGAAUCAAAGUUAGUUAGGGGUUUCUAUUAAUGAAUGUAAACUGAUAUUGAUGGUCUGUUGAAAAAUGAAAUUGCAUGGUUCAAACGAUUUCUGAGCUUUUUCUGUUAUACUUAUAAGUUGCUUGGCCCUGUUAUGCUAAUUGGACGAUUAGAAUCCAACCUGUUAAUUUCAAGAGUCUUACUUUUACAGGUUAAACUUGGCUUGUAGUUUUAUGCUAUGAGGUGUUUGUGAUGUUUUUGUGAAGAAUCAAAAAGGGUUGCGUGUGAAUGAUGGAAUUGUGGGACCUCUCUAUAUUAUGGGGCUAGUUUGAUUGAAUUGGUGUAUUGGCGAUGCAGGAUAGCAUUUCUAGUUGUGGAUUUGCUAUUAGAGUGCAUGAUGUAAAUUUGAAAUGUUGAUAAUUUUGUUGUAAUGAGAAAUCAAAUUGUAUUGAAUUAUGUAUGUUGGUUUUGAAUGGUCAUGAAUGAAAAUUGUAUUGAAUUAUGUAUGUUGGUUGUGAAGGGUUAUGAAUGAAAAUUGUAUGGAAAUGGAAUUGGCUUA